rnacentral:rRNA from 1 species
UACGGAGGGGGCUAGCGUUGUUCGGAAUUACUGGGCGUAAAGCGCACGUAGGCGGCUUUGUAAGUUAGAGGUGAAAGCCCGGGGCUCAACUCCGGAAUUGCCUUUAAGACUGCAUCGCUAGAAUUGUGGAGAGGUAAGUGGAAUUCCGAGUGUAGAGGUGAAAUUCGUAGAUAUUCGCAAGAACACCAGUGGCGAAGGCGGCUCACUGGUCCGGUACUGACGCUGAGGUGCGAAAGCGUGGGGAGCAAACAGG